AGAGUUUGAUCCUGGCUCAGGAUGAACGCUGGCGGCGUGCCUAACACAUGCAAGUCGAACGGGAAGCGACCUUCGGGUCGUGGAGAGUGGCGAACGGGUGAGUAACACGUAGCUGACCUGCCCUCAAGACGUGGAUAACUAUUGGAAACAGUAGCUAAUACACGAUAAGCUCACGUUUAAUAGAGAAAUGUGAGAAAAGUUAAGGCGCUUGAGGAUGGGGCUGCGAGCCAUCAGCUAGUUGGUGAGGUAAAAGCUCACCAAGGCGACGACGGCUAGGGGACCUGAGAGGGUGACCCCCCACACUGGAACUGAGACACGGUCCAGACUUCUACGGAAGGCAGCAGUGAGGAAUAUUGCACAAUGGGCGAAAGCCUGAUGCAGCGACGCCGCGUGGGUGAAGACGGUUUUCGGACUGUAAAGCCCUUUUCUAGGUGACGAGAGUGGACGGUAGCCUAGGAAUAAGUCUCGGCUAACUACGUGCCAGCAGCCGCGGUAAU
rnacentral:rRNA from 1 species